GCCGCGAUAGUAUAGCCCGGUCAAGAGUAUGCAGGCCUCUCAAGCCUGUGGCCCGGGUUCAAAUCCCGGUCGCGGCA
rnacentral:tRNA from 1 species